rnacentral:rRNA from 1 species
UACAGAGGUCUCAAGCGUUGUUCGGAAUUACUGGGCGUAAAGGGUGCGCAGGCCGCGCGGGCAGUCAAAUGUGUAAUUCAGGGGCUCAACCCCCUGCACUGCGCUUGAUACUUCCGCGCUCGAGCUUUGGAGAGGAGUCUGGAAUUCUCGGUGUAGCAGUGAAAUGCGUGGAUAUCGAGAAGAACACUUAGGGCGUAGGCAAGACUCUGGACAAAUGCUGACGCUCAUGCACGAAGGCUAGGGUAGCGAACGGGG